ACCUUUCUUAAAAGCUGAGCCCAUGCUGUGUCACAGGGUCCUCAGUAAGUGGCAGAGAGGAGAGAGCUUAUGCCUGCUCUCUGUGUUCUGACCUGUGAACAUCUGAGCGGUUACUAGCCUAACAUU
rnacentral:snoRNA from 14 species